UUGCAUAUCUUACCCAAUCUGCUCAACAACCUUCUGAUAGAGAGAUAGUUGACCCUUGAACAACAUGGGUUUGAACUGCAUGGGGCCACUUAUAUGCAGAUUUUCUUCUACCUCUGCCAGUUCUUGAGACAGCAAGACCAACCCCUCCUCUUUUUCUUUCUCCUCAGCUUACUCAAAAUGAAGAUGAUGAGGAUGAAGACCUUCAUGAUGAUCCACUUCUAUAAAUAGAAAGAUGAGGAAUCAGGAGACAGUCAUGGCCCAGAGACACGCAAUGGGUGCUUUCGAUCCUUAAUCACUGGAGUAUUUAGCCCCAUGCCUCCUUUGUCCUGUCUGUGAAACAUCUACUUGGCUUCAUUCUACUGCUGCCACCAAAGAUCUAUUUGAAUGCAACGGUAAGGGCUAAUAUCAUUAUUACAGAGAGUAGACUGUCUUAAUGUUAUAAAUAAGAAAGUGGCACUUUAAGGAUUGCUCUUAAAAUCCCGAUUCUAAUGUGCAAAAACUAGUUUGUUCAUUGAAAGUAUCCCAAGAGGGGGUGUGUAGAAAUCUAAACCUCAAAUGGCUCUCAAUUUUAGCAUGCUUCAGAAUUCUCUGAAGGAGGAGUUAUUAAAACACCCACAGAACUGGACCCCAUCUCCAGAGCUUCUGAUCAGCAGGUCUAGAAUAAGACCUGAGAAUGUGCAUUUCAAGGAGGUUUCCAAGUGAGGUUAUUCCUGCUGGUCCCAGGACCAUACUUUGAGAACCAGUGCCUAGCAUAAAGCUGAAGGGAAAGGAGAUUUUUGCCUAUAAAAAUAAGUGAAAUCUAAAAUGUGCUUCCUGGAGGAAAUGUAUGCAAAAUCCUGGAAUGAGACUGAAACACCCAUGAACAAUAUUUCUUCCAGAAGACUAUUUUAAGGUCUAAACCAGGCAUCAGCAAAUAUUGUUCUGUAAAGCAUCAAAUAGUAAGUAUCUUCAGCUUUCAGGCCAGAUAGCCUCUGUUGUAACUACUCAACUCUGUGGUUAUAUUGUGAAAGCAGCCAGAGACACUACGUAAAGAAUGAGCGUGACCACAUUGCAAUAAAGCUUUAUUUACAAAAACAGAUAAUGGCAUGCUGCAUUUGGCCCACUAGUUGUAGUUUGUUCAUCCCUGGGUUUAACUAAUGAAGUAAAUUACAUAAGGCAACAUAUAUUAGUCUGUUAAGCCUGUGUGCGCCUGUGAUCAAUGAGAAACUAACCAAGUUGGAAACCUGACUGUAAGGCAAUCUUUGAUGCCUAUUUUGGUUGUACAGGAUUGAUAAAAUAAGCACCUGCAUUAUAGAGGCAAAGAGUGGGAGAUACAAACUCUUCUUGUAAUUCAGUCCCUAAGACUAGCUAUUUGGGACUAUUUGAAAACAAAUGUGCUACGAUUUCACCCAAUUUUAAUAGGUGUUUCACUGCACUAGUAAAAAUUGCUUAGCUAUAUAUUUAGUACUUUUACUAUUUGGUGCUUUGUCUAAAAGUAAAGAAUAUCUUUUCUAUGUAGCAGGGUAAUUUAUUGAGUUGUUAAUUAAUUCAGAUUUUGUUUUCCAUUUGUUUUUCCUUCUCCUCAUUUCAAAAGAGGCCACUGGGGUGUCUAUUCCCAGGAGAGGUUUGUAUUGCUGGCCAGAGCUGCUAGAAAACAGAACUUGCCUGGAGAACUUUUGUAAAAACAAAACAAAACAACAUCCAAGUCUACCAAUUUUCCGAAGGGGAAGAAGAGAAGAGCAAGUGUCUUUGAUGGGGAGAAGGGGGAGCAGAUGAGAUGAGGAAGAAAGGGUCCAAGCAGAGCCGUGGAUGGAGAGAGAAGAAGGGACUCCCUGACAGUCAGUCCCCAGGUCUCUUCUUACUUAGUCUGUCAGUAGCAUUUGACACAGUUGGCCAUUUCAUUCCUUCCUCUUGGAAAUACAGUCUUCACUUUGGCUUCCAGACAGUGUUGAAGGAAACCAGAAUAUUCCAUUCUAAAAUAUGCCUCUUUGACAUGAAUAUUUUUAAGCUAGGAGCAGCUGCAGAAAGGGCUGCCUGGGCUGCUCUUUCUUACCUAUAUAUAGCAAGCCGUAACAAUUCCUGGAGAGCUUCUGCCUUGCCUUUGUUUACCCAAAAGCAGGACAGAGAAUUACAAAGACAAAAGGUUUUUUACCCUCCUCACUCCCACCUCUCCCAUCUGAAAACAAGAUAGAAGUUCUCUUUGAACAGACCUUUAUCAGCUCAGAAAGGAGCUAGAGUGAGGAAAUUUUACUCCCCAUCAAUUUACUGUCCCACAUUUUCCCACCUCUAGGAGCCUAGGACUGACCUCCUCUUUGCCUUGUCACUUUCCCAAAAUGUACUAUUCUGGCCCCGCGGUGGCUCAUGCCUGUAAUCUCAGUACUUUGGGAGGUGGGGGAGGGUAGAUACUUGAGUCCACCAGUUUGGGAUCAGCCUGGCCAACAGGGCAAAACUCCAUCUCUACUUAAAAAAAAAACCAUUAACUGGGCAUGGUGGCAGGGCCUGUAAUCCCAGCUACAUGGGCGGCUGAGGCAGGAGAAUCACUUGAACUCGGGAGGUAGAGGUUGCACUGAGCCAAGAUCGUGCCACUGGGCAACAGAGCAAGACUCCAUCUCAAAAAAUAAAGUACUGUUCCUUGUCGGUAUACUAUGUAAGAGACUUCUUCUUCUUCUUCUUCUUCUUUUUUUUUUAGACGGAGUUUCGCUCUUGUUACCCAGGCUGGAGUGCAAUGGUGCGAUCUCGGCUCACCGCAACCUCCGCCUCCUGGGUUCAGGCAAUUCUCCUGCCUCAGCCUCCUGAGCAGCUGGGAUUACAGGCACGCACUACCGUGCCCAGCUAAUUUUUUGUAUUUUUAGUAGAGACGGGGUUUUAACAUGUUGACCAGGAUGGUCUCGAUCUCUUGACCUCAUGAUCCACCCGCCUCGGCCUCCCAAAGUGCUGGGAUUACAGGCGUGAGCCACCGUGCCCGGCCGAGACUUCUAAACCACUGCUUUUGAACACAUCCCCCACGUGAUGUGCAGUGCAUGUGUUAAUAAAGUUGUUUUUCUCAUUAAUUUCUUUUGCUAUAGAGGUUUGUCUCAGCUACAGACUUUAUAAGGGUUAAAGAAAAUUCUAUUUCCUCCCCUUCAGUGCUCUCUCCUGGUUCUCUCUUACCUCGCUAGCUGCUUCUUCCUCUCCUUUGCUAGUUCCUCCUCACCUACCUGACAUCUAACACUAAGAAUGUGCCAAAACAUAGCUCUUGGUUGCCUUUCCUCCCCUCCCCUUCUCUUCUCUCCUUGUCUCCCCCACCACUCUAUUAGAAAUUUCUGCUAUUUCCCUGCACUCCCUUUCUGCCUUCUCUUUUUUCUUUCUCUCCUUAGUGCUUAUCACUAUUCAAUACACUAUAUAUUUUAGUUAUUUUCUAUCUUCUCUGCAAAUGCAAGCUCCGUGAAGGCAGGGAUUACACAGGUAACCUGUCUGAGGGGGACUGCUGUGAAGUCCACCACGGGAUUCUGAACCUGAGGGUGCUGAACCCUGCACACCAGUGAUGCCAGCUGCAGCCAGGAUCCCUCUGGCUUUACUUUGCUUGGGAGUACCAGAGCUACCCACUUUGCAGAGAUCAACACAGGCACACCUGUUUUGUUACCCUGCCUCGUUCCAGCAGGAAUUGCCCAGAACCCCAUGUGAACCCAGAGAUGCCAAGGCUCCUUAGCCAAUGAGAGUUCUUGAUUCCUUUGCCUGCGAUUUAAGACUUGAAUGUUUGCCUGCUGGGUUGCAGCACGUGAAACUCAUUAUGCAGCUUUGAAACCUGGCCUCCAACACAGAAUGAGAACAGCCUGUUCAAGAGGAGAAGGACUGUUUGUUUCAGCCAUGAGUGCCAAAAGAGAAAAAAAAAAAAAUAAACGGUUUCCUUAUUUGGCCAUUUUAGAGCAUAAAAUCUCUAUUUUCUUCAUUUCUCAAGAUCGUGGGUUCAUGAUCUUGAGCUGAGGGUUCAAGGUUAAAAAGUUUUUGGGCAGGUAAUCAUGCCUGUAAUCAAACACUUUGGGAGGCUGAGGCAGGUGGAUCACGAGGUCAGGGGUUCAAGACCAGCCUGGCCAAUAUGAUGAAAUCCCGUCUCCACUAAAAAUACAAAAAUUAGCCGAGCAUGGUGGAGUGUGCCUGUAGUCCCAGCUACUCAUGAGGCUGAGACAAAAGAAUCGUUUAAACCCAGGAGGCAGAGGUUGCAGUGAACCAAGAUCAUGCUACUGCACUCCAGCCUGGGAGACAGAGUGAGACUCUGUCUAAAAAGAAAAAAAAAAAAGUUUUAAAAUAAACAGCUUUAUUAGUGACAUCUGGGAGUACUAUAUAUAGUCAAUUUCCAAGCCUAUAUUAAUGAUUCCUCACUUUUACAUCCAUUAGUUUCAAUGACCUGGCAUAUAAAUAAUAUUUUGAAGAGACAAAUUAUUAUAAAUCCUAGGAAGGGACUUUGAAGGAUCCUGUGAUAAAUUCCCUGGUCUUAAGAUAAUUAUCUCAAGCAAAUUAAAAUCUCAGCUCACUUUUUUUUAAGAUCCCCAGGGAAUGAGAUACCUUAUCUUCUCUAAAUAUAUCUCACUAUAAAACUGUUGAUCAUGUCAGAAAAGUGCUCAGUCAGCGUAAGUUUUCUCAUUACUUUUUUGUGUGUCUUUCUAAAGUUAGCCAUGCAUUUCUACUGAAUGCAUUGAUCCUAAUCUGGAAUGAAAAGCAACCAUGGGCAAUCAUCAUUUUGAAUAAAUGAGGGAAAAUCAAUAGUUAUUUCUCUUUCCAUGGAAAUGGAAAUACCGAAUCCACGGUGCGUUGGCUGUGACAAAAUAUGUAGCCUACGAUUCUCCAAAUUCAUAAGAUAAAAAUGAUUUAACAACAAUCAUGAUUCAACAGGAACACAGGUUUCUCAGACUAAAUGCUUUUAUGGCCAUGAAUUGGAAGUAUGCGUGAUGGUCUUUGCCUAUACACAUUCCUAUUUAUUUAUCUUUUCUUUCUAUGUCAUUAUUGUUUUAUGAUUUGUCUUUUUAAAUAGCUUUUGGUAUCUAAUCCCUUCUAUUACAUCUCUGUGUCAGGCUGGAAAUCAGAGCUAAAAAUAAAGCCAGGGACAGGCUAGGAGUGGUGGCUCACGCCUAUAAUCCUAGCACUUUGGGAGGCCGAGCGGGUGGAUCAUGAGGUCAAGAGAUCGAGACCAUACUGGUCAACGUGGUGAAACCCUGUCUCUACUUAAAAUACAAAAAUUAGCUGGGCAUGGUGGU